rnacentral:rRNA from 1 species
UGAGUAAUGUCUGGGAAACUGCCCGAUGGAGGGGGAUAACUACUGGAAACGGUAGCUAAUACCGCAUAACGUCGCAAGACCAAAGUGGGGGACCUUCGGGCCUCACACCAUCGGAUGUGCCCAGAUGGGAUUAGCUAGUAGGUGGGGUAAUGGCUCACCUAGGCGACGAUCCCUAGCUGGUCUGAGAGGAUGACCAGCCACACUGGAACUGAGACACGGUCCAGACUCCUACGGGAGGCAGCAGUGGGGAAUAUUGCACAAUGGGCGCAAGCCUGAUGCAGCCAUGCCGCGUGUAUGAAGAAGGCCUUCGGGUUGUAAAGUACUUUCAGCGGGGAGGAAGGCGGUGAAGUUAAUAGCUUCACCGAUUGACGUUACCCGCAGAAGAAGCACCGGCUAACUCCGUGCCAGCAGCCGCGGUAAUACGGAGGGUGCAAGCGUUAAUCGGAAUUACUGGGCGUAAAGCGCACGCAGGCGGUCUGUCAAGUCGGAUGUGAAAUCCCCGGG